rnacentral:rRNA from 1 species
CCGAAAGGGAGCCGUAACACAGCGUGCUGCAUGGCUGUCGUCAGCUCGUGUCGUGAGAUGUUGGGUUAAGUCCCGCAACGAGCGCAACCCUUGUCCCUAGUUGCUACGCAAGAGCACUCUAGGGAGACUGCCUGGUGACAAACCGGAGGAAGGUGGGGAUGACUGUCAAGUCCUCAUGGCCCUUAUGGGUAGGGCUUCACACUGUCAUACAAUGGUCGGAACAGAGUGGUUGCCAAUGCCUGCGAGGUGGAGCCAAUCCCAGAAAACCGAUCUGUAGUCCGGAUCUGCAGUCUUGCAACUCGACUGCGUGAAGCUGGAAUCGCUAGUAAUCGCGGAUCAGCAUGCCUGCUGGUGAAUAC